rnacentral:rRNA from 1 species
UACGGAGGGGGCUAGCGUUGUUCGGAAUUACUGGGCGUAAAGCGCGCGUAGGCGGUGUUGUAAGUUAGGGGUGAAAGCCCGGAGCUCAACUCCGGAACUGCCUUUAAGACUGCAUCGCUAGAAUUGUGGAGAGGUAAGUGGAAUUCCGAGUGUAGAGGUGAAAUUCGUAGAUAUUCGGAAGAACACCAGUGGCGAAGGCGACUUACUGGACAAAUAUUGACGCUGAGGUGCUAAAGCGUGGGGAGCAAUCAGG